rnacentral:rRNA from 1 species
CCUACGGGAGGCUGCAGUGGGGAAUAUUGCACAAUGGGCGCAAGCCUGAUGCAGCCAUGCCGCGUGUAUGAAGAAGGCCUUAGGGUUGUAAAGUACUUUCAGUCGGGAGGAAGGUGCUGAGUUUAAUAUGCUCAGCAAUUGACGUUACCGACAGAAGAAGCACCGGCUAACUCCGUGCAAGCAGCCGCGGUAAUACGGAGGGUGCAAGCGUUAAUCGGAAUUACUGGGCGUAAAGCGCACGCAGGCGGUUGAUUAAGUCAGAUGUGAAAUCCCCGGGCUCAACCCGGGAAUUGCAUCUGAGACUGGUCGGCUAGAGUCUUGUAGAGGGGGGUAGAAUUCCAUGUGUAGCGGUGAAAUGCGUAGAGAUGUGGAGGAAUACCGGUGGCGAAGGCGGCCCCCUGGACAAAGACUGACGAUCAGGUGCGAAAGCGUGGGGAGCA